rnacentral:rRNA from 1 species
GAUGAACGCUGGCGGCGUGCUUAACACAUGCAAGUCGAACGAUGAAGCCCAGCUUGCUGGGUGGAUUAGUGGCGAACGGGUGAGUAACACGUGAGUAACCUGCCCUUAACUCUGGGAUAAGCCUGGGAAACUGGGUCUAAUACCGGAUAGGAGCGUCCACCGCAUGGGGGGGGUUGGAAAGAUUUAUCGGGUUUGGAUGGACUCGCGGCCUAUCAGCUUGUUGGUGAGGUAAUGGCUCACCAAGGCGACGACGGGUAGCCGGCCUGAGAGGGUGACCGGCCACACGGGGACUGAGACACGGCCCAGACUCCUACGGGAGGCAGCAGUGGGGAAUAUUGCACAAUGGGCGAAAGCCUGAUGCAGCGACGCCGCGUGAGGGAUGACGGCCUUCGGGUUGUAAACCUCUUUCAGUAGGGAAGAAGCGAAAGUGACGGUACCUGCAGAAGAAGCACCGGCUAACUACGUGCCAGCCGCCGCGGUAA